GGGGUUGUAGCUUAGUGGUAGAGCACUUGCCUUGCAUGCAUGAGGCACUGGGUUCAAUCCUCAGCACCA
rnacentral:tRNA from 1 species